rnacentral:ncRNA from 1 species
UUUUUUCGCAGUAUGCAUGCCGUAGUAAGCCGAAACCAAGAACGCCUCAUUAAAUUAUUGUAGUUCCUUGAAUCGCAUUGGAUAAUUGUAACAAUUCUACGCCUAUCCCAUGUACAGAACUCCAACGCUUUGGGGAACAACGCUUUUACAAAACUCAAAUCAAUGGAACCAUGCAUCCGUAUUUAUGUGGUAACUCUGUAGAGCUUUCGGCUUAUCGCAAAGGUUCUUUCUGGCGAAGUAUCUUUCAAGUGUCUGCUUUAUCAACCGUCGAUGACAGCUUAAGCGAUUACCAUGGUCGCAACAGGGAAUAAGGGUUCGAUUCUCGGAGAGGGAGCCUGCUACCACAUCCACGGAAGGCAAAUAGGCACGCAAAUUAUCCAUUCCCUGAAAGCGGAGGUAGUGACGAAGAAUAACAAUACAUAAUUCUUUUGAGACCCCUUAACUGGAAUGUGUACACACUAAAUCCUUCAACGAGAUCAACUGGUGGGCAAUUCUGGUGCCAGCAACCCUCUUAAUUCCAGUUCCAAUA